GACGAACAAUUUACGGAACCAUUAACACGACAGCGACAAACAUCGUUAUUUCGUGAAAACAGUUUCAAAUGGCAAAUUGGAGAAGCCAAUAUGACUAAAGUUCGAACGAAUUUACUAACUCAACGAGCCGUGACCGAUCGCACAUGUCGCUCUAAUUCAAAGUAGAUACUUUCCAUGUCUCCUCGAUCGAGGGGAUUGAGAAAUGCUGCGGGUUCCCUCGUGAGAACUCAAAAUGGAUAUCUACAAUUUUUCUUUUAGAUUCAACUUUGAAAUUGCUUAUCGAUCCCAUGCUAAUCGUAUGUCGUUCGAAUGACUAUGCAAAGUUGGUUAAAGCCGAACCAACCCCCACCAAAAUAGUCCAUUAGUAAAUUCCCUUAUGGAGUACCAUGGCUAAUUCGAAAUAAUUCGAUCACUUAUUUUACAUAUCCCAAUCAAGUAGAAAUCAUUUUAUUAAUAUAUAUAUAUAUAUAUAUAUAUAUAUAUAUAUAUAUAUAUAUCCACUUGGCCAAUGAUAUUUAUUUUCUUUGUGAAAAUUAAAGAAAAAGGAAAAUAAAAUAAAUUAAAAAAAAAAAAAAAGAAUUGAAGUGAACUGUACCAUUCGAAGAUAGAACGAUCGGAAUCUGCCAUAAGUAUGGAACUAUGAAAGAUCAUUAAAAAUAACGAAAAAAAUUUUAAUACUGUAUAUAUUUAAGUAUAUGCUUACGUAUAUAUAUAUAUAUAUACUUACUUUCCCAAUGAUACUUCCUUUCUUUGUGAAAAUAAAACAAAAUAAAAAAAAAAAAAACGAAAUAAAUAAAUAAAAAUAAAAAAGAAAGAAAAAGAACAAACAACAAACAAACAAACUAUACCAUUCGAGACGCGGAACAAGACGUGUAACUCCAGUAGUCUCUGAUAACUUUCUACGGUAUCGAUUACGAAUGUCGAUCAAGGACGUAAAGGAUGAAAGAUGAUACUCAUAAUAAAUAAAUAUUCUCCCGUUUUAAUAUACGCACGUGCACGUACACAUAUACAAACACGUAUGUACGCACGCACAUAAAUACAUAGAAAGAUGGACAAUUCGUUGCGACAAUAUCUAAUAUUACGAAAUAUUCGUGAGAGGAUAGAUCAUGAUCGAGAUCUAGAAAUUCGAGGAUAAAACUACUAUAUAUAUAUACAUUCGUAUCAAAUCGCAAAGAGAUGCAAUUUCAACGUAUCUCUCACGUACUUACUUACUUACUUUCACGCAGAUGUAAUCGUUUAAAUCUUGAAAAAGAGUGUCCUUGAUUCAAAGGACAAUGAAUAGGGUAGAUUCGGUGACAGGGAAACGAAGUAUGAGUACUUCCUGGGUACCAUAGACGCAGAUGUGAUGCCAAUAGUUAUCACGUGCCGAUGACAAUAGCGAUUGCACCCAGUUUUCUCUCUCUCUCUCUCUCUCUCUCUCUCUCUCUCUUUCUAUUUUCUUUCUAAGCUACGGAAGAAUACUCUUGGAAGGGACAAUGCCUGGAACGAAAGAUAUCCCGGUAACAAUGCCUGACCACUUUUGGAACAUCUCCAGAAUUGAAACAAUUGGAAACUUAAGAUUUUUAGAACCCGAUUAAUUUUACUUCUUAUUAUUGGAGGAACAACCGUAGAAUAUUAUUAGUAAAUAAUUUAUUCUGUAUCUUCAAGAGUUAUAUUUACGUGUAAAAAGAAAGAAAGAAAAAAAAAAGAAAAAAAUAAAAAAGAACAAGAACAACAGAAAGAAAUGAAAAUUAAAUGACGUUGUUAACGUGUUGAAUAUUAAAACAACGCAACUUUUUUCUCUUGGAGUAUAAUAUUGCAUGAGAGAAAAGAAGGAUAAAAAAGGAAAAAAAGUAUUAAACGAUUUCAAAAAAACGUUCCCGAAUAUUCUAUAACCUAUUCUCAUUUUUCUAGGAAAAGUAAAAUUACAUGAGGACAAAAUUGGAUGAUUUUAUCGUUAAAAUUUCGGUCGAUGUUGCAACAAAGAAAUGAAUGGUAACCAGGAGAAAGGAAAUAUAUGAAAUUUCAAGAAGAGCAGCUGGUGAGAAGAUUGGCGUCGAUCCGUGAAAAGAUAGAAGAGAGAAGGGAGGGGAGGGGAGAGAGAGAAAAAGAAAAAGAGAGAGAGAGAGAGAGAGAGAAAAGAAGGGGCGGGGGAGCACGCGCGAGAUUAGAAAAGAAAAUCAAGGGGGGUAAAAUAGGAAAGUUAGGGGAAAAAGGACAACGUGGUACGAACCUACCCCACGAGGGUUAGAGGCCAAUGUGGUACAGUUCUCCCUAACUCACUUCUUCCCCUCCCCCAUCUCCCACUCUUCAUCCCUCUUACUAACUAAACGUACGUGUAGGUACACGUGCUCGGGAAGGGUAGUCCCUGCUUCUAAAAGCUACCAUUGCUUCCGGUGAAUACCCACAAACGUUUCUACUACCUACCUAUCGAACACGUUAAGACUACGAUGAAAGAAAAAGAAAGAGAUAGAUAGAUACAUAGAACGUAAGAGAGAGAGAGAGAGAGUGAGUGCGUGAGUGUGUAAGUGAGUAAGAAAGAGACAGAAGAAGAGAGGGAUAUCAGAGCAAGCAACGCAACGGAAUCGCAGUACACACCAGGACGACUAACGAACGCGAGUGAUAUUCGCGCGAGUGCGCGAGAUUUUAACGAAUGACAGUGAGGAAUUAUCGAUACAGGUCGUCGAUAGAGAUAUUCCUCUAUGUAUUUCGUUGAUUCGCAUGAGAAUUAAAUGAAGGAUAUAUGGAUUAAUUAGUAUAAAUGUGAAACGAAUCGCUCGAUAUAUUCGUCCGGUCGGAGGAAUGAUAAUGAAAUUCUUGAGAUUUUGAUUCGCCGACGACGGAGUUGAAGAGAGACAGAGAGAGAGAGAGAGAGAGAGAGAGAGAGAGAGAGAGAAAAGAGAGAAAAAGAG